GAGGCAGCAGUGGGGAAUUUUGCGCAAUGGGNNNNNNNCUGACGCAGCAACGCCGCGUGAAGGAUGAAGGCCUUUGGGUCGUAAACUUCUGUCAGAGGGGAAGAAAUGCCCGAAAGGGAGCUGACGGUACCCUCAAAGGAAGCACCGGCUAACUCCGUGCCAGCAGCCGCGGUAAUACGGAGGGUGCAAGCGUUGUUCGGAAUUAUUGGGCGUAAAGAGCAUGUAGGCGGACUGUUAAGUCUGGUGUGAAAGCCCGGGGCUCAACCCCGGAAGUGCAUUGGAUACUGGCAGUCUUGAGUAUGGGAGAGGAAAGUGGAAUUCCGAGUGUAGGAGUGAAAUCCGUAGAUAUUCGGAGGAACACCAGUGGCGAAGGCGGCUUUCUGGACCAAUACUGACGCUGAGAUGCGAAAGCGUGGGGAGCAAACAGGAUUAGAUACCCUGGUAGUCCACGCCGUAAACGAUGGGUACUAGGUGUUGCGGGUAACCACUCCUGCAGUGCCGCAGCUAACGCAUUAAGUACCCCGCCUGGGGAGUACGGCCGCAAGGCUAAAACUCNAAGGAAUUGACGG
rnacentral:rRNA from 1 species